UCAAUUGGAGCAGGCCUUGGUGCCCUCGUGCAUCCAAUGCAUGGCCAGUGGAUUGGUUGUACCCUUGGAGAUUUCGCAGGACCAGUUGUUGCGAUUCUUAUAUUUGAGAAGUUGCAGUUCCCGCUAGAAAGUUAAAACCUCCUGUUCGUGCUACACAGUUAGAAAACCAGGCCAGUCAACUAUGGGUCCAGCUGGCCUGGUUCUGAAGAACAUGAAGUGGCGAUGUUUCGCCCUUUCCAGGAUCCCCGUUGAUCUAACUUGAAUAUUACACAGUUGAUGAAUAACUAGAUAUCGCCUGUAGCUAUAUGCAUGGUUAAAGUUUCUUUUCAAGGCAUAAUACCUUCGGGCUUCAUGAGAUGUUGAUAUAUUGUCAUAUGCUUUACUUUGCUUCUGUUGUCUUAGAUUUUGAACGGAAAUGGAUCUAUUUUUGGGCA